rfam:Picea glauca, whole genome shotgun sequence.
GCGGACGUAGACAAGUGGAACAAGGCAGUGUAUUGUGAAUCCACCAUGCGCGGGUUCAAUUCCCGUCGUUCGCC